GAAAAAAAGAGAGGAGCUUGAAGAGGCAAUGAAAAUAAUUCGAACCUUUGUUGUUGGGAUGGAUACAAUCUACGAAGACAAGGACGACUUAGAAAUACUUGCUGUAGCUGUAAACAAAUCAGAGGAAAUGGUGUAUUCUGCCAAAAAAAAUGAUCAACUGCAAAAGGAAAUUGAUAUCCUUCUUGAAAACUUGGACAAUGGUUGGC